UCCUACGGGGGGCAGCAGUGGGGAAUUUUGGACAAUGGGCGAAAGCCUGAUCCAGCAAUGCCGCGUGUGUGAAGAAGGCCUUCGGGUUGUAAAGCACUUUUGUCCGGAAAGAAAACUUCUGCCCUAAUACGGCGGGAGGAUGACGGUACCGGAAGAAUAAGCACCGGCUAACUACGUGCCAGCAGCCGCGGUAAUACGUAGGGUGCGAGCGUUAAUCGGAAUUACUGGGCGUAAAGCGUGCGCAGGCGGUUUGUUAAGACCGAUGUGAAAUCCCCGGGCUCAACCUGGGAACUGCAUUGGUGACUGGCAAGCUAGAGUAUGGCAGAGGGGGGUAGAAUUCCACGUGUAGCAGUGAAAUGCGUAGAGAUGUGGAGGAAUACCGAUGGCGAAGGCAGCCCCCUGGGCCAAUACUGACGCUCAUGCACGAAAGCGUGGGGAGCAAACAGGAUUAGAUACCCCCA
rnacentral:rRNA from 1 species